AUUUUUCUCAAUGGGCGAAAGCCUGAAGGAGCGACGCCGCGUGGGGGAUGAAGGGUUUCGAUCCGUAAACCCCUGUCAUUUGUGAACAAUGGUUAUCCGUGAACAACGGGUGACUUGAUAGUAAUGAAAGAGGAAGGGACGGCUAACUCUGUGCCAGCAGCCGCGGUAAUACAGAGGUCCCGAGCGUUGUUCGGAUUCACUGGGCGUAAAGGGUGCGUAGGUGGCAUGGUAAGUUUGAUGUGAAAGCUCAGGGCUCAACCCUGAAAUGGCAUUGAAUACUACUGUGCUGGAGGUUUGGAGGGGGGACUGGAAUUCUUGGUGUAGCAGUGAAAUGCGUAGAUAUCAAGAGGAACACCAGUGGCGAAGGCGAGUCCCUGGACAACACCUGACACUGAGGCACGAAAGCCGGGGGAGCAAACAGG
rnacentral:rRNA from 1 species